GUGGCUUCUUACUGAUGAGACAGUUCAUCAGAGCAUCUGCAGUGAGAGUGUAACUAACCAGAAAGCUCUGCUUCUGGACUCCUUCCACUGGACUCAGCUUCACAAAAGCCUAAAAGGUCAAAUCAACCUUUACAGGGGAUGGAAGGAGGAGUUCUUGCCCGACACUCUGAGACCCUGAAUGGAUCCUUCUGUGGCUGAUUCAACUCAAAUCUGAGGUUUUCUGCCUUGUCCCGGUUGUAGUACCAUCGUCCUUCUAGAUAUAUGGAAUGCAUUCCUCUUUCUAGUCUUGUUUCAAGAGACUGGCUCUCUUGCUCUGAAUCCUAGAGUCCUUGCCGGUUUCUUGCUGUGAUAGAUUUUCCUGCAUGCAAGCUCUCUCUGCUUACCUGAUCCUAAAUAGCAUCCACUUUGGAAUUACAUGUGCUUCUUUUCUGUUAGCUGUGUAGAAUCC
rnacentral:lncRNA from 1 species